rnacentral:lncRNA from 1 species
AAAUGAAUUGUGUUAUUUAUUAUUAUCAUCAUAAUUAUUUAAUCUUAUCUUGUUUGCCAGGAACAAAGUCAAACUCAUGGCCUCUGAGUGCCUGAGUCUCCUGUGUGCUGGGAUUCCAGGUCUGAGCCUCCGUGCCUAGAUAAAACAGAUGUUUGUUUAUGCACAUCAUGCUAAAGGCUGCUGAAGAGAAUGGUAACAUUCACUUAGAGCAGAAGUGAAGAUGAAAUGAUAUCCUUCUUAAUGUAAAAGCAACACUGCCUCAUCUUAUCUUAGUAGUUACUUUUGCUGUUGUUGUUUGAGACAGUUGCUAGCUGUAUUACCAGGCUGUUCUCAAACUCAAAACCCUGUCUUAGUCUCCCAAGAGAUGUAGUUCCAGGGGUGAACCUCUCUAUCCACCUCCACCGUAUUUCCAGCUGUCAUAGGUUCUAUUUUAUUUUAAAGUUUUUAAUUUGAAUUUUUAUUUAUUUUGUAUGCAUGUGCGCAUGCACACACGUGGAGUCAGAGAAUGAAUAACAAUUCGGCUUGUUCCAUCCACUAAGUGGUUCCCAGGAGUCAAACCAUGUGUUCAGGCUUGGUGGCAAGCUCUUUUACUCAAAGCACCAUCUCGCCUGACCUAUAUCUUCUUUCAUUUUUUUUUUUUUUUUACUGACUAUAUUUAUGGGGUAUAACAUACUCUGACAUAGGGAUGAAUUCAUCCUUCUUGUUAACAUAAUCACUGUGGCAUUUUAUUUCCGUAGAACUCAUAUUAAAAUAUUCUUUGAAUGACUGCAAAAGCACACUGACUAACCCGUGACGCGCACCCUGCUGGAACGUACCGGUAGAAGGUCAUCAUGCAGCCUGUGAUGGUCAUGUUCAUCGGGACCUGAGCUGACAUUCUUCCUAUCAGAGUCAUCUUUUCACCGGUGUCAGGAUGGAAGGCCGAGUCGUACGCGUACUUCGCUCUCCAUAGCUCAUUUUCCGUGAGGCCGGCAGGAACGAUUCCUUGCCUAGAAGAUGACAACAACCGGUCCAGCAACUGCCGCCCCUUUCGGGCAUCGCCAACCAUGAACUACAUGGUUUGCUCGACUUUACUAUGCCUACGGGACCUGGCAGGCCUGUUAGAGCGUGGGCUGUAAUUAUUGUUUUUUAAAAUAUUUCUAUGUUCUGGGUACGAGGGACUGAACCCAGCGCCUCACACAUACUGAGCAUGCACGCUAUCCCUGACCCAUGCUCGCAGCCUAGAGCAUAAGAACAAAAAAACCCAACUACAGCAAACUCCUCAAACCCACUCACCUUGAUUAUCCAUAACUUGGAAAAUAACAGAAAGUAACAUGUCUACCAAGCAGUGUUCAACUUGAAGAUAUUCAUUGUUUUAAAUGACGUGUUAAAAGUGCCAUCUGAAUUUGGCAAACUCUGAACCAUUUUUAGCCGUCAGACCAACAUGAUGGCUCUCAACGCUAUUGCUUUAUUUCAAACCUGUAGUUGGUGAACAGGUUAGGGACCCUUUGGUGCAAAUAAAGGGCUUGGUGCACAAUUUGUCAUAUUUUAUCAUCAAUGAAAUACUCAUUGUCAGAAAUUUAGAAAAUAUUCAAAUUUAGUGGAGCUCUGAAAUUGCCCAGAGCGUAUAUACUGUUUGCCAUUGGCAACAUUUGGGGAAAUACAGUCUUUCAAGGUGUUUAAGGUAUGAUACCAAACCAGAUGCUCUCUAACCAGGGUCUUUAUUCAGUAAUAGUCUACCCAUCUACAUUGGGUUAACUCCCAAGUUGAUGUCCACAUCAAAGAGGAUAUGGUUCUAUAGAUGCAAUUAGCCAAAGGGAAAUGCUAUUGGAUAAGUAGUCAUAAAUCUAAGGAAUAGUGUCUGUGUACAAGCAGAAAAGACAGGGUACAAUCACGUAUCUACAAGCCAAGGGAUGCUGGCAAUUCCCAGAGACAAGGGGGACCCUUCCUGAGAAUCUUCAGAGGGAGUGUGACCCUUCUGUGACUCAGACCCAUCCUCUAAACACUACAGAUUACUUUAAAAAAAAGAGAGAGAGCUUUAAAAAAAAUCACUCUCCUAAUGUUGGGAUUUUAAUUGUCCUACCUUUUCCACUUAGAAAAGGAUGUAGGAAUAAGCUUUCAUAAUAGAAUUCUACCCACAUCCAAGAUUAUUUAGAAAUGAGAAAAUCUUGCUAAUGCAACAGCCAUGUAAAAAUAUUAAAUGUUCCUAUGACUUUU